GAUGAACGCUAGCGGCAGGCCUAACACAUGCAAGUCGAGGGGUAGAACACUUCGGUGUUUGAGACCGGUGCACGGGUGCGUAACGCGUAUGCAAUCUACCUUGUACAGGGGAAUAGCCCAGAGAAAUUUGGAUUAAUGCCCCAUAGUAUAUAACCUUCGCAUGUUGGUUAUAUUAAAGUUCCAACGGUACAAGAUGAGCAUGCGUCCCAUUAGUUAGUUGGUAAGGUAACGGCUUACCAAGACGAUGAUGGGUAGGGGUCCUGAGAGGGAGAUCCCCCACACUGGUACUGAGACACUGACCCGACACCUACGGAAGGCAGCAGUGAGGAAUAUUGGUCAAUGGACGCAAGCCUGAACCAGCCAUGCCGCGUGCAGGAAGACGGUCCUAUGGAUUGUAAACUGCUCUUAUACAGGAAGAAACCCUCCCACGUGUGGGAGAUUGACGGUACUGUAGGAAUAAGGAUCGGCUAACUCCGUGCCAGCCGCCGCCGUAACAC
rnacentral:rRNA from 1 species